GACGGACGCUGGCGGCGUGCUUAACACAUGCAAGUCGAACGGAAAGGCCCUGCUUUUGUGGGGUGCUCGAGUGGCGAACGGGUGAGUAACACGUGAGUAACCUGCCCUUGACUUUGGGAUAACUUCAGGAAACUGGGGCUAAUACCGGAUAGGAGCUCCUGCUGCAUGGUGGGGGUUGGAAAGUUUCGGCGGUUGGGGAUGGACUCGCGGCUUAUCAGCUUGUUGGUGGGGUAGUGGCUUACCAAGGCUUUGACGGGUAGCCGGCCUGAGAGGGUGACCGGCCACAUUGGGACUGAGAUACGGCCCAGACUCCUACGGGAGGCAGCAGUGGGGAAUAUUGCACAAUGGGCGGAAGCCUGAUGCAGCAACGCCGCGUGCGGGAUGACGGCCUUCGGGUUGUAAACCGCUUUCGCCUGUGACGAGGCGUGAGUGACGGUAAUGGGUAAAGAAGCACCGGCUAACUACGUG
rnacentral:rRNA from 1 species